GGAAUAUUGGACAAUGGGCGAAAGCCUGAUCCAGCCAUGCCGCGUGUGUGAAGAAGGUCUUCGGAUUGUAAAGCACUUUAAGUUGGGAGGAAGGGCAGUAAGCUAAUACCUUGCUGUUUUGACGUUACCGACAGAAUAAGCACCGGCUAACUCUGUGCCAGCAGCCGCGGUAAUACAGGGGGUGCAAGCGUUAAUCGGAAUUACUGGGCGUAAAGCGCGCGUAGGCGGCUUUGUAAGUCGGAUGCGAAAGCCCUGGGCUUAACCUGGGAAUUGCAUUCGAUACUGCAUGGCUAGAGUAUGGUAGAGGGAAGUGGAAUUUCCGGUGUAGCGGUGAAAUGCGUAGAUAUCGGAAGGAACACCAGUGGCGAAGGCGACUUCCUGGGCCAAUACUGACGCUGAGGUGCGAAAGCGUGGGGAGCAAA
rnacentral:rRNA from 1 species